rnacentral:lncRNA from 1 species
GUGCCGGAGAAGCUGGAGUUGGGGAAGCCGCGGUCGCCGCCGGGACCUGCAAGGGAAGUCUAAACCGGAGGUGGGGUUGCUCCGGCAAGACCCUCCGACGCUCAAGUCAGUUCUCUGUCUCAACAAGAAUGGAGUGCUCAAACGGAGAAUUCAGCAGAGUUUUUAGAUAAGAAAUGAGCUUAGAGAAUAACGUAUCUGGAUUCCCCUUUUAUAGGCGGAGGAGGUAACGGAUUGAUGGCGACGUUUGUAACCGUCUGGUAGUGGGCCGCCCGUAGUCAGGGAGACUUUAUUGCGAAGGGUAGUGGAGCAGAAUCGUGGCUAUUGCCGUAGCUCGCCAUGUGAAAUCAGUUGCG